rnacentral:rRNA from 1 species
UUGAACGCUGGCGGCAGGCCUAACACAUGCAAGUCGAGCGCGAAAGUUCUUCGGAAUGAGUAAAGCGGCGGACGGGUGGGUAACGCGUGGGAAUCUGCCUAGCAGUGGGGGACAACAGCCGGAAACGGCUGCUAAUACCGCAUACGCCCUACGGGGGAAAGGGGGGGAUCUUCGGACCUCUCGCUAUUAGAUGAGCCCGCGUCGGAUUAGCUAGUUGGUAGGGUAAAGGCCUACCAAGGCUACGAUCCGUAACUGGUCUGAGAGGAUGAUCAGUCACACUGGAACUGAGACACGGUCCAGACUCCUACGGGAGGCAGCAGUGGGGAAUAUUGGACAAUGGGGGCAACCCUGAUCCAGCCAUGCCGCGUGUGUGAAGAAGGCCUUAGGGUUGUAAAGCACUCUCAGUGGGGAGAAAGGUUUGUCACCUAAUACGUGAUGAAAUUGAUGUUACCCACAGAAGAAGGACCGGCUAACUCCGUGCCAGCCGCCGCAGUAA